ACUUUAAAAAACGUAUGGUAAUGAGAGAGGCCCCUUGUUUUAUGCAUAUAUAUGGUGUGUGUGUGUGUGUGGUGGAUUCAUCAUAAUUUAGAGGUGAAAUCAGGAAAAGAAGGGGAAGAAAUUAAUGGCUGAAACUGCAGUGGCCUUUCUACUUGACCAUUUGGUUAAGUUACUGAGUGAGGAAGCAACAAUCUUAGGAAAGGUGCACAAGGAGGUUGAGGAGAUCAAGAAUCAGCUAGAACGAAUAAACUCUUACAUUAGGGAUGCAGAAAAGAAGCAGUUGUCAGAUGAUCAAUCAAGUGUCAAAAGUUGGUUGAAAUCAUUGAGGAACGUGGCGUUUGAGAUGGAGGAUGUGGUUGAUCACUAUUUGCUCAAAGUGGAAGAACGUGGUCAGAGGCAUGGUAUCCAUGGUGCAGCCACUGAAUUAAUAGAGAAGGUCAAAACUUUAACACAUCGUCAUGAUAUUGCAUCUGAUAUUAAAAAAGUCAGAAAAACCCUAGACGGUCUCUACAGUGAAGGAAUGGUCUUGAAACUCGAGCCAUCUUCUCGUGCUCCUUAUCGUGCAACUCCAAGGUUAGGCGCUCAUUUUGUCAUGGAACCUCAACUUGUUGGUAUUGAUCGUCACAAGCAGCAACUCACAAAUUGGCUAACAGAAAGGGGAGUUCCAAUCAGGGUGGUGGUUGGCCCACCAGGGAUAGGUAAAACGGCAAUUGUGAAGAAUGUGUACAGCAAGCAAGAGCAGGUAAGCCUUCAGAAGAAUGGAACAAGCUAUUUCGAGUUUUGUGCAUGGAUAACCAUGUCUCGGUCUCAAGUUGAUGAUGAGCAAAAUAUGCUGAUAAGGCAGAUUAUAGAAAAUAUACUUGAGAAGGACCCCGGUGCAGCUACAUUGCGGAGCGAAACAACAACUCUGGAGUCUCGUAUAAGAAAAUUAAAAGAAUACUUCGAAGAUAAGAGGUAUCUCAUUGUGUUUGAUGAUAUGCAGGAUUUAAAUUUUUGGAAUGUUAUCCAGUAUGCCCUAAAUCAAAAUAGCAGCACAAGCAGCAAGGUUAUUAUCACCACACGAGAUGAAAGUGUUGCAAAUAUGAUUGGAAGUGAUCAUUUUGUGUCUGUAUAUAGAGUAGAACCUCUAUCUCUAAGUGAUGCUUUGAUGCUCUUCCGUCACAAGGCAUUUCAAUUUGAGAAAGUGGAAUACCCUGAAUUGAAUGGUUUGUCCGAAGAGUUUGUGGAGAAAUGCAACAGGGUGCCACUGGCUAUUUUGGCUAUUGCUUCUCACCUUGCAACUAAGGAGAAAACUACCACUGAAUGGAGAAAGGCACUCAUUCAACUUGGCUCACGAUUACAAAGUAACCAUCUUCUUGACAUUGUCAAUCAAGUAAUGUUAGAAAGUUACCAUGAUCUUCCUUCCCACCUCAGGAGGUGCAUCUUGUACUUUGGCCUUUUCCCUGAGGGCUAUUUCAUUAGUUGCAUGACACUCAUUCGUUUGUGGGUAGCUGGGGGUCUUGUAGAGGAAAAAAGAGAUAGUUCUGAAGAAGACACAUCAAUGGAGGAAUUGGCAAAACAAUACUUAGCUGAGCUUGUAUGUAGAUGCUUGGUUCAUGUUUCAAAGGUGGAUUUUGAUGGAAGACCCAAAACUUGUCACGUGUAUAACCUCAUGCAUAAGUUAAUAGCCAGGAUUUGCCAGGAGCAGAUGUUUUGUGAUCAAGUAAAGAUGAAAGAUAAAACCACACCAUCAUCAUCUAAUUACUCCAAGUUGGAUUCGUCAGAUCCUAGAGGUUUAUCAAUAAUUAUAAACAGUGAUGCUGCUGCCAUGAAAAGAGUCAAAAACUGGAAGAAGGUUAGGUCUUGUUUUGUUUUUGAUGAUGCUAAGAAGUGGCUGGUGACAGAAGAAUUUUUCUCAAGUUUUAUGCUUUUGAGCCAAUUAGACUUGUCUAAUGCACGCCUUGAUAACCUUCCUAAACAAGUUGGGAACCUAUUGAACUUGAAAUACUUGAGCCUGAGGGACACCAACAUCAAGUCACUUCCAGAGUCCAUUGGCAACCUAGAGAGGUUGCAAACUCUAGACCUAAAGCGGACUCAAGUGCAUGAGCUACCAAAGGAAAUUAAGAACCUUGUCAAGUUGUGUCAUCUCCUUGCUUAUUUUAUCUAUAAUCAAUAUUCCGAUUUGGACCGCUUACAAGGAGUGAAGGUAAAUGAAGGGCUUAAAAAUCUAACAUCAUUGCAGAAACUUUCAUUUUUGGAUGCAAGUGAUGGUAGCAUAAUAAAGGAACUGGAACAACUAAAGAAGUUAAGGAAGCUGGGGAUUAUAAAGCUAAGAGAAGUAUAUGGUGAUGCACUGUGCAAGGCUAUAGAGAACAUGACCCAUCUAUGUUCCUUAAGCAUCGGGGCUAUGGGAAAUGAUGGCAUGCUUAAGUUGGAAUCUUUAAGAAAUCCUCCAUCUUCCCUUCAACGCCUUUACCUGUAUGGGCGUUUAGAAAAGCUUCCAAUUUGGAUAAAAGAAAUUCCAAAUCUUGUCAGAUUAUACUUGAAGUGGUCUAGUCUAAAGGAAGAUCCAUUACCUUACCUUAAAGACUUGUCAAAACUGUUGUACCUUAAGUUCUAUGAGGCUUAUGGUGGUGAUGAGUUGCAUUUCAACAAUGGAUGGUUGAAAGGCCUAAAGGUUUUGCAUCUAGAGUCCUUGCCAAAGUUGAAGACCAUAAAGAUUGCUAAAGGAGCAAUUCCUUAUCUUGCAGAGUUGAAGAUAGGGAAAUGCCAGAAAAUGGUGACGUUUCCCAGAGAUAUUCAGAACUUGACAAGUCUUCAAAAGCUUUAUCUCUAUGAUAUGCAAGAACAAUUUAUAAAUGAAUCACGAAGUGAAGACUGCAAGAUUAUUUUUAACAAAAUACCUCUUGUGGAAUUCUCCAACGAUGACCAUUUUUCCACUUUUAAUAAUGCUGAUGCUUGAAAGAUGAACUUGAUAGUAAUGAUCUAAAAAGGAGUGCAAGAUUUUAGGAUUUAAAAUAUUUUCUUAUAAUUUUGCUUCAAUGUUAGGGGGAAUAAUGACUUGACCUUUCAAUCUAGAAAAAAAAAAUGGGACAAUUUCUCUGGAAAAGUGGUAGCUGGCAUGGAAAAAUUCUCUAAAGGUGAUUCUUUGGGUGCUUGCGAGGGGCAUGUCCCCUUUAUCCUAAACCCAAUCCGCAUUUGUUGUCAAUUGGUCAUGUUUUAUUUCACUAGUUCGAAUAAUUUGUUGAUCUCGUCAUUCUUUUUUCUGGGUGUAAUUAAAGAAUGACUCAUUUUCAAGCUCUUUGUUACUUCCUUGACAUUUACUUAUUGAACUAAAACUCACGUUGAUAUGCGUGCUCCAUGAGUGAAUUUUGGAGGAGAUUAAAUUUCUCUAUAAAUAAAAGUAUGUUGAGAUUUUUAUA